CCAUAAAACGACGGCGCACUACAACCGAAGUCUAUCAAGUAGUAGUAACUUUUUUCGCACCGUUACAAAAAAUUCAAAGGUGAUAAAGACAUUCAAUUCAAAAUCAAAUUCUAGUAAUCUCUUCUCCCGUAAUAAUAAUAAUAGUCGAAAAUUUUCCCCGCCAACACCGCGCAUGGCACUUUCUACCCCACCAGCACCGCCAGAUCCUAACUCCGCUGCCACCACAAGACCAAUUUUCUCCGCUAACCCUAUAUUAAGACCGCCUACCCCUCAACCUUUUUCCCUCCAAUCUUCUCAACGCCUACCACCACCACCACCUAAUCCUAAUUACUCUCAAUUUGUCCCUAAAUCUACUAAUCCCGACCCACAAUCUCAUCAUCUUCACAGUAUUCUCUACCCCCUUGCUUCCGCUGGACGCGGGUUUUUGCCCAACCCGAAUCGGCCCGUUGUUCCUUUUGGGCUGAAUCAUAUGGAUCCGGGUUCGGAUCAGGCUGCGGGUACGGGUGGUAGGCCGACCCAUUUGCAACACGCUCUUCUUGGGUCGUCUUCUCCUGCUACCAGUUCAGCUGUUAAGGGAUUUCCAGUUGUCACUUCUUCGCAUCCAAAGAUUGCUUCUACUCAGCCUUCCAUUUCAGAUUGUAAUGGCUUCAGGGACAGAAGUAAGGAUGACACCUUUGCUAUAAUCAGAGACAGAAAAGUCCGAAUAUCUGAUAAUGCUUCUCUCUACGCCCUUUGUCGAUCAUGGUUGAGGAAUGGGCUUCCUGAUGAAACUCAGUCCCAAUACAUGGAUGUGGUAAGAUCUCUUCCUAGACCCUUGCCGCUAGCUCCUCAAGAUGCCGAGUCUCCUGUGAAAAAGGAUGGAGAUAAAGAAGAAGAGGAAGAGGGUCCUCAUUUGUAGAAGCCCUGAAUCAGCAAGAUGCCAGUAGGAUGCAUUUGGUAUGCCCAACUUCUCUGUAAGACAAAUCGUUCUAGUAAUUCUAAUUUGUAUGUUCCAUUUUCAACUUUUCCAUCUAGUCAUACAUUUUCCGCAUCAAUUCACUCCCAUCCAAUCUUUCUUGAUUUCUGUUACCCUGGUUGCUUUCCUACAAGGGUAUGAAUCUAUUCCAUGGUAAAUCACCCUCCUACAUUUCAAUCAGACUCUAGAAUUGGGAGUACUGACCAUGUUUACUCCUUGCUGAGCAUUUAACCUACCAGGCUGUUAUUGAUGUCUAGUAUAAGAUUAAUGACUUGUACUAUGCGAUCACGUAAUUCUAGGAUUUUGUAUUAUACCAUCCAUUUUAUUUUAGGACUGGAGUUUUUCAUCUAUGCUAACUUAAAAUGGUGAAUUGUUCCAUCCCUAUCAACUUUAAAGUAAAAAAGGUUUUGAACUUUCAUAUUUUGAAAAGCUUUUCAUAAAUGAAAUAAAAUUCAUCAUAUUACAAAGUUUUACAUAAUCAAGUGUCAUAUGCAUGUUGAACAUUUUCUUUUUAUUGUUUCAAGUUGAAUGCAAUACUUUGCUUCUGAGGAGUCUACUAGACUUUUUCCAAGCAAUCUUAUACUCUUCAAUGUUUUGAAUUGCCAAGUAUUGAAAGUAUGGUAUGCUUCAUGUUAUGUUGAAGUCCGUGAGUUCCUUUCUAAAGACAAAUCAAUUGGCUGUUAAACUUUCAUCAAAUGCAUGUCCUCAACGUCAAGAGGAUGACCUACUGGUUAAGGCAUGGGAGCAACAUUCUGGAGAUCCCAGGUUUGAAUUCCAGCAACAAUACGUGGUGCAGACCCAUGCCUGUGCUGUAUAGGCUGCCUGGAUGGCGAGUCUGUUGAGCAUUUAUCUCCGAAAGAACUUUUGCAAAGACAUGUCAAGCGUGCUAAAAGGAUUAGAUCACGAUUAAGGGAGGAAAGACUCAGACGGAUUGCAAGAUACAAAACGA